GCUUCUGCAUACUUUAUACAUGGUUCCCUGGUUUCAAGUCCUGCUUUCUUAAGCUUUCUGGAUUCUCAGUUUACUUCUCUUCAAGUUAUCUCUGCUAGUCGGCCCUUUGGUUGCACCACCCCCACCAAAAACAAAACACCUGACAACUGACUGUUCUCUGGCUCAAUUGAAAAAAACAGGAAGACAACAUUCAAAAAUUAACUAACCUCAAGAACUGUACAGUGUAUGUGUGUAUAGUUCUGCACUAAAAGCCAGGCAUGCAAAGAUGGAAUUGAAACCGUCCUAAGCGACCCUCAGGUUCUUAGGGCCUGCUGGCCUGAAGCCAAACACAGGACACAGGUGCUGGUGGAAGGAAAGAGGUUUAUUCAAGUGCUGAUCACCUAAGAAGAUGGGAGACUCAUCCCAAAGCCCAACUUAGCAUCUCAGUGCAGGCAGGGAUUUUUAUAAAGGGGUCUUGGAAAGAGGGGAACUAAGGAAUUCUGGCCAUGUGCACUUUCACAUUCCAGCUCUCAGGUGGUUUUGAUGUUCUCUUUGGGGUGUGUCAGCGUCUGGUAUUUUUUUCUCUAUAUGGGUUUUACUGCUGAUAUCUGGGGACAGAAUGUUGCAGCAUCUGCUAUACUCCUGUGGUCAAGGCCAGCAAAAAGGGGAACUGGAACUCCUGCUGCCUGUAACAUGCUUAAAUAUGAAACUAUUAAUAUUUUAGACUAUUAGUUUUGUUAGUAUAUUCUUAUUUUUAAAUCUUGGUUGGUUAGUUAAUUAAAUGUGAGGUUUUAUAUACCCUAUUACAAAGUGAGUUACUAAUGUAUCAUAGCACCCUUUUUCUCUCCCAUCACCCCCCAUAAGGCAUGUAUUUUGUGUCCUGGUUGAACUGUGUUUUAUAGAGAGGCAGCCAAUAGUGAUCCAGUGAUACUCUUCAGUGGACAAACCACAUCUGGAGUUCUAUGUUCAGUUCUAGAUUGAGCACUUUAAGAAGACCUCAAAGAAGUUGGAAUUAUUUCAGAGGAGAGCAAAAAGGAUGAAGAGAACUCAAAAGUAUGACCAAUGAAGAAGUAGUGAUUAAACUUGGGAGGAUUUUUAUAAAAGAGAAAAAGCUACUGGGACUAUAUCCAAAUAAGUAAAGACCCAUUGUGUGACUUAGAUUUGUUCAGGUAGUCUUAAGAGGUGCACACUUAAGAGAAACAGAUUUCAGGUCCUGAAAAGAAGAUUCCCUUCUAGCACUAGCCCGAGAAGUUUUCUGCCUUAGGAUGGAUGGAAGCCCUCAUCACUGGAUUUGACUUUAAGUAGAUUCUUAAGGUUUACUUAAAAGGGACUAGGAGCAGGGGAGCCAUGAAUCAAGAGAAAAAUUAGGUGAUGGUUUUGUUAAAGCUACUUCCAACCUUAAGAUCCAACCAGUCCACAGUCCCAGCCUUAAAAGAAUUUACAGGUUAGCUAUGACACAAGACAAAUGCACGAAAAGUUGACAACAGCUACAAAAUAAAAUGGAGAGUUUUCCAGUAGACUGUAAAGCUAGAACUGACCAUAAAUGAAAGACGAGGCUGAGUAGCAACAUUUCAGUGAUUUUGAGGCUGGGAAAUUGGACUCUUCAGGCAACACCGAGCUCUCCUUUGGGUGACGAUGUAGCUCCGUAGGUGGAAUGACUAUUCUCUAUGUUAGAUCAAAACUAAGGAUUCAGGCUGCUGUGUUUAUUUUCAGUUCACCUUCGUCGGCUACUUUGUAAAAUGUAAUAGGAGAAACUGAGAUAUAAGUAAGACUUUGCUCCUUCCUUGCACUCCAAAGCAGGAGGGAGCAGCAUGAACACACAAGUCAAAGAAAACUAAACUUAGAUUUCUUUGAGACGGCCUAGUCCCUAUACCAUAAACACGUAUGGAUUCUCUCAGGCGCGACCUUGGUCUCUCUUCCAUACACA